rnacentral:rRNA from 1 species
GACGAACGCUGGCGGCGUGCCUAACACAUGCAAGUCGAACGGAGAUAGGUUGAAAGCUUGCUGGAUACUUAUCUUAGUGGCGGACGGGCGAGUAACGCGUGAGCAACCUGCCCCAGACUGGGGGAUAACGUCGGGAAACCGGCGCUAAUACCGCAUAACACUGCGAAGCCGCAUGGUUUGCAGUCAAAGCUCCGGCGGUUUGGGAUGGGCUCGCGUCCAAUUAGCUAGUUGGUGAGGUAACGGCCCACCAAGGCGACGAUUGGUAGCCGAACUGAGAGGUUGAUCGGCCGCAUUGGGACUGAGACACGGCCCAGACUCCUACGGGAGGCAGCAGUGGGGAAUAUUGCGCAAUGGGGGAAACCCUGACGCAGCAACGCCGCGUGAAGGAAGAAGGCCUUCGGGUUGUAAACUUCUUUUGAUCGGGGACGAAGAUGACGGUACCCGAGGAACAAGCCACGGCUAACUACGUG